AUUGAACGCUGGCGGCAGGCCUAACACAUGCCAGUCGAACGAGUGGCGGACGGGUGAGUAAUGUCUGGGAAACUGCCUGUUGGAGGGGGAUAACUACUGGAAACGGUAGCUAAUACCGCAUAACAUCAGAUGUGCCCAGAUGGGAGUAGCUUGUUGGUGGGGUAACGGGUCACGAAAGCGACGAUCCCAAGCUGGUCUGAGUGGAUGACCAGCCACACUGGAACUGGGACACGGUCCAGACGCCUACGGGAGGCAGCAGUGGGGAGUAUUGCACAAUGGGCAGAAGCCUAAUGCAGCCAUGCCGCGUGAAUGAAGAAAGGCUUCGGGUUGUAAAGUACGUUCAGCGGAGAGGCGUUACCCGCAGAAGAAGCACCGGCUAACUCCGUGCCAGCAGCCGCGGUAAUUC
rnacentral:rRNA from 1 species